GGUCAGUUUAGUAUCACUUAUAAAUUAACUUAUUUAGCUUAUUUGAUUAAAAUAAGUCGAGUAAUUUCAAAUUAUAACUUAUUUUUUAAGCUUAUUUAGACAGGAUUUAUUACUUGAAUAUUUUCAAGACUAAUUUGCAGCCUCUACAGAAUACUACUUACAGCCAGUUUGUUUUAUCUACAAGACUAAUUUGCACACAGAUCAUUUAGAACCAUUGAUUUCCUUGGCAAUCUUCACACACAUUGCCAUAGGACAGUUUGUUUUAAUUGCAUUGGAGACAAUGUGUCAUCUACUAACAGCAUAUCCUUCCUGCAAAGCCAUUUCACCAGCUGGAAAUGUCACAAACACGAAUUAGGAUUACGCUGUUCCAAAGUAUCUACGCUAUGCCAAACUCAAUUGGGAUCCAAUUUACACUAAAUCACCCAUAUAUGGAAUCAAACCUAAAUUUGCCAUGGAAGCUCUGACUAAUCCCGAUUUAGUUAUUUUAUAAGGUUUUGGUAAUAGCUGCCAAAUAAGUGAUAUUCUUUGUUAACAGAAUACUAGUUAACAGAAUAUUUUCACAGAUUGGGACAUAAAUGUCAGAUAAAUGAUGAAAUCCUCUCUUCACCUACAUUUGAAAUCCUCCCAUCUGAAUUAAACCCAUCUGAAUAUCCUCCUGCUUGUGAUAUUCCCGAAAACUAUGGAUUUGAAAUGGAUGAUAGAUAUUUAGAGCCCGGAGACUUGGAUAAUGAAGAUGAUCCAUGGAAGCCUUUGAAUCCCUAUGAACCCAGGAAUUUGAGGGUAAAAUCUUUUAAAAAAGUGAAAUCUUUUAGAAGGCAGGGGAUUAAUUCCACUAAACGGAUAUCCAUAACUAUUCAGUUCCCUCUCGCAAGAAUGCAUGGUACCAUUAGUUCAAAGUUCAGUGAUAUAUGGGAAGCACGGCGUCAUGCCUCAGAGAGACAACAAGAAUCCCAAUCUUCUUGAAAAUAUGAAAAGUUGAGAAAUUCACUUAUUCAUGGAGGACGUGAAACUUGUGAAUCAUUUUGUGAUCCAAAUGAUGACAAUGAUUAUGAUAAUGGAGGCUUUGAUUUUGGUCCAUUUGAUUUUGACAUGCCAGAGAAUGCAUACGAGUAUGAAGAAGUACCUCUACAACCUGAAAAGGUUAGGCAGACCUCUAGUAUAUUCAGAUAUAUUUACAUCAUGAAGCUGGCAAUAACAAAAUCGGCAUUUAUGUUGCAUGCUUAUUUGUUGAUAUUUAUCUAGCACGA